rnacentral:sRNA from 1 species
GCAGUUGCUCAUUCAACUUUUUAUGACGGCGCCGCCAGAGGGCGGACAACCUGCCUCAUAAGCCUCCGAAUGAUGCCAAAGAAAUGGUGCCUAUCGUCCAACCAAACCGAUAAUUGCCGCUGACGCGACUUUAUCAAGCAUCGGGCGACACGUGGAGUGAGGCACCGCCUGUAUCCAACUGUGAUGAGCCUUUUCAUCAAUUCCGGAUACAUUAGGAUGCUAUU